UGGGGAAUUUUGGACAAUGGGCGAAAGCCUGAUCCAGCAAUGCCGCGUGUGUGAAGAAGGCCUUCGGGUUGUAAAGCACUUUUGUCCGGAAAGAAAUCCUUGGCUCUAAUACAGUCGGGGGAUGACGGUACCGGAAGAAUAAGCACCGGCUAACUACGUGCCAGCAGCCGCGGUAAUACGUAGGGUGCAAGCGUUAAUCGGAAUUACUGGGCGUAAAGCGUGCGCAGGCGGUUUGCUAAGACCGAUGUGAAAUCCCCGGGCUCAACCUGGGAACUGCAUUGGUGACUGGCAGGCUAGAGUAUGGCAGAGGGGGGUAGAAUUCCACGUGUAGCAGUGAAAUGCGUAGAGAUGUGGAGGAAUACCGAUGGCGAAGGCAGCCCCCUGGGCCAAUACUGACGCUCAUGCACGAAAGCGUGGGGAGCAAACAGGAUUAGAUACCCUGGUAGUCCA
rnacentral:rRNA from 1 species